rnacentral:rRNA from 1 species
AUCGAUGAAGAACGCAGCGAAAUGCGAUAAGUAGUGUGAAUUGCAGAAUUCAGUGAAUCAUCGAAUCUUUGAACGCACAUUGCGCCCUUCGGUAUUCCGUUGGGCAUGCCUGUUCGAGCGUCAUUUAAACCUUCAAGCUCUGCUUGGUGUUGGGUGUUUGUUCCGCCUCAGCGCGUGGACUCGCCUUAAAUUCAUUGGCAGCCGGUAUAUUGGCUUCGUGCGCAGCACAUUGCGUCACGAUUCUAGUAUACCUUCUCCCAUUAAGCCUCUUUUUUACUUUGACCUCGGAUCAGGUAGGGAUACCCGCUGAACUUAAGCAUAUCAAUAAGCGGAGGAAAAGAAACCAACAGGGAUUGCCUCAGUAACGGCGAGUGAAGCGGCAAUAGCUCAAAUUUGAAAUCUGGCUCUUUUAGGGUCCGAGUUGUAAUUUGCAGAGGGCGCUUUGGCGUCGGCAGCAGCCUAAGUUCCUUGGAACAGGUCAUCAUAGAGGGUGAGAAUCCCGUAUGUGGCUGCUUGUCUUCGCCGUGUAAAGCCCCUUCGAUGAGUCGAGUUGUUUGGGAAUGCAGCUCUAAAUGGGAGGUGAAUUUCUUCUAAAGCUAAAUAUUGGCCAGAGACCGAUAGCGCACAAGUAGAGUGAUCGAAAGAUGAAAAGCACUUUGGAAAGAGAGUCAAAAAGCACGUGAAAUUGUUGAAAGGGAAGCGCUUGCAGCCAGACGUGCCCGCAGUUGUUCAUCCGGGGUUCUCCCCGGUGCACUCUUCUGUGGGCAGGCCAGCAUCAGUUCGGGCGGUUGGAGAAAGACCUGUGUCAUGUAGCUGUUCUCGGGCAGUGUUAUAGGGCAGGUGGAAUGCAACCAGCCGGAACUGAGGUCCGCGCAUCUGCUAGGAUGCUGGCGUAAUGGCUGUAAGCGGCCCGUCUUGAAACACGG